UACGUAGGGUGCAAGCGUUAAUCGGAAUUACUGGGCGUAAAGCGUGCGCAGGCGGUUUUGUAAGACAGGCGUGAAAUCCCCGGGCUCAACCUGGGAAUUGCGCUUGUGACUGCAAAGCUGGAGUGCGGCAGAGGGGGAUGGAAUUCCGCGUGUAGCAGUGAAAUGCGUAGAUAUCGGGAGGAACACCCAUGGCGAAGGCAGCUUACUGGGCAUUUCCUGACGCUGAGGCGCGAAAGCGUGGGUAGCAAACAGGAUUAGAAACCCGUGUAGU
rnacentral:rRNA from 1 species